rnacentral:rRNA from 1 species
GAUCUGCACGCCUACCUGUCCGGCUAUGCUGACGGAGAAGGGUGCUUCUGCAUCACGUUCAAUCGCAGCACGCGCCAUGUCUUCGGCUGGGAUAUCCGGCCGAGUUUCUCUGUCAGCCAGAACCGGGACCGCGCCGAGAUCCUUGAGGUGUUCCUCCGGACAUUCGGGUGGGUCGAUUCGGCCCGACCGAUCGGAUCGAACGCUCAAGUAUGAGGUGCGGAGUGUCGCGGACUUGGUGGCGCGUGUCAUCCCGCACUUCCGGCGAUACCCGCUGCUUUCAGGCAAGCGGAGAGACUUCGCGGUCUUCGCUGAAGUGUGCGAGAGGAUGUACCGUCGCGAGCACCUGACGGUGGUUGGAUUUCAGCGCAUCGUCAGGCUGGCCGGACAGAUCAACCAGACUGGCAAGAAAAGGUAUCCCAGGAUCGAGAUAAAGGUAUAGUCUACGCCCCUGGUAACAGGGAAUCGCGUGAAGUUCCGACCUGCACGAAUGGCGUAACGAGCUGAGCGCUGUCUCGACGAGGGACUCGGCGAAGUUGUGAAGCCCGUGAAGACACGGGCCACCCGCGGCUGGACGGAAAGACCCCGUGGAGCUUUACUGCAGCUUGUCAUUGGAUGUGGUCUUACCGUGUAGAGGAUAGGUGGGAGGCGGAGAAGCCGGGGCGCCAGCCUCGGUGGAGCCACCCUUGGAAUACCACCCUCGGCAAGGUUACGUCCUAACCUGGGCCCUCAGCGGGUCUGGGGACAGUGGCAGGUGGGCAGUUUGACUGGGGCGGUCGCCUCCUAAACGGUAACGGAGGCGCCCAAAGGUCCCCUCAGCACGGUUGGAAACCGUGCGGCGAGUGCAAGGGCAUAAGGGGGCUUGACUGCGAGGCCUACAAGCCGAGCAGGGGCGAAAGCCGGGCCUAGUGAUCCUACGGCGGCAAGUGGAAGCGCCGUGGCUUAACGGAUAAAAGCUACCCCGGGGAUAACAGGCUAAUAGGGCCCAAGAGUCCACAUCGACGGCCCUGUUUGGCACCUCGAUGUCGGCUCAUCUCAUCCUGGGGCUGUAGUAGGUCCCAAGGGUUGGGCUGUUCGCCCAUUAAAGAGGUACGUGAGCUGGGUUCAGAACGUCGUGAGACAGUAACCUGGACCGUUGCUGUCUAUAAAUCUGGCUAUAUGCUGGAAAGCCUGGGGGAUCCCACGCUACCCAUCCUGCAAACCCGUUGAGGAUGUGCCGAUAGGUAGGGAUGGGUGACAAUGCGAUGGGUGCAGGUAACCAGCAGGGAAGGCCAGAUGAGGGGAUCAGCCACUACAUCGCAGGUUUUGUCGACGGGGAAGGUUCGUUCCACGUGGCGGUGCAACGUCAUCCCACCACCCGGUGGCGAUGGCAGAUCGUGCCCGAGUUCCGGGUUUCCCAGAACGACGGUAAUCAGCACGUGCUGGAGUUGAUCCAGAGCGUGUUGGGCUGCGGGCACAUCAAGCGGAACCACGGGAAGAGCCUGCGAGACAGAACCUGGGUGUUGGUGGUAAGACAUCGCUCCGACCUGAUCGGGAAGGUGAUCCCGUUCUUCGAGCGGUAUCGCCUGCACACGACGAAGCGUCAUGAUUUCGAGCGGUUCGCGGCUGUCGUCCGGGCUGUGGCGGUGGGGCAACAUCGUCACCCCGCAGGACUCCGCGAGUUGCUGCGCGUGGCCUUCGCGAUGAAUCAGGGUGGAGCUCGGCGACGGCUGUCGCUGGAGACGGUCCUUGCUCAUCUGGAACCCUCAGAGACUGUACGCCAGACACCUCGCACGAGGUGAAGAUACAGUCCGAGCUUUCAGGCGACUGAAAGAGGCAGGCAGAAAUGACCUGCCCCCUCCCCUUCCAGGAGGAGUAACAACACUGUCGGUCCCUAUCCACCGCGGGCGCAGGAGACUUGAGGGGAGCUGCUCCUAGUACGAGAGGACCGGAGUGGACGGACCUCUGGUGUACCGGUUGUCCUGCCAAGGGCACGCGCCGGGUAGCCAUGUCCGGACGGGAUAAGCGCUGAAAGCAUCUAAGCGCGAAGCCCACCCCAAGACGAGGUCUCCCACCGGGUCAACCGGGUAAGCCCCCUGGGAGAUGACCAGGUUGAUAGGCCGGGGGUGUAAGCGCUGAGAGGCGUUGAGCCUACCGGUACUAAUCGGGCGAGGGCUUGAGCCC